AACAAAUUAGUAACUAUUUUGAUAAAAUAGUUCGAUAGUCUUCACACUGUAUUUGUUA
rnacentral:tRNA from 1 species